rnacentral:tRNA from 1 species
GAAUAUGUUAGGCCCAAAUGAGAACUGCUAAUUCCUCAUCUCCAUGGUUCGAGUCCAUGGCUUAUUCA